AGCGAACGCUGGCGGCAGGCCUAACACAUGCAAGUCGAACGAACUCUUCGGAGUUAGUGGCGGACGGGUGAGUAACACGUGGGAACGUGCCUUUAGGUUCGGAAUAACUCAGGGAAACUUGUGCUAAUACCGAAUGUGGCCUUCGGGGGAAAGAUUUAUCGCCUUUAGAGCGGCCCGCGUCUGAUUAGCUAGUUGGUGAGGUAACGGCUCACCAAGGCGACGAUCAGUAGCUGGUCUGAGAGGAUGGCCAGCCACACUGGGACUGAGACACGGCCCAGACUCCUACGGGAGGCAGCAGUGGGGAAUCUUGCGCAAUGGGCGAAAGCCUGACGCAGCCAUGCCGCGUGAAUGAUGAAGGUCUUAGGAUUGUAAAAUUCUUUCACCGGGGACGAUAAUGACGGUACCCGGAGAAGAAGCCCCGGCUAACUUCGUGCCAGCAGCCGCAGUAA
rnacentral:rRNA from 1 species